rnacentral:rRNA from 1 species
UACACUCCUACGGGAGGCAGCAGUGGGGAAUUUUGGCCAAUGGGCGAAAGCCUGAUCCAGCAAUGCCGCGUGUGUGAAGAAGGCCUUCGGGUUGUAAAGCACUUUUGUCCGGAAAGAAAUCCUUGGCUCUAAUACAGUCGGGGGAUGACGGUACCGGAAGAAUAAGCACCGGCUAACUACGUGCCAGCAGCCGCGGUAAUACGUAGGGUGCGAGCGUUAAUCGGAAUUACUGGGCGUAAAGCGUGCGCAGGCGGUUUGCUAAGACCGAUGUGAAAUCCCCGGGCUCAACCUGGGAACUGCAUUGGUGACUGGCAGGCUAGAGUAUGGCAGAGGGGGGUAGAAUUCCACGUGUAGCAGUGAAAUGCGUAGAGAUGUGGAGGAAUACCGAUGGCGAAGGCAGCCCCCUGGGCCAAUACUGACGCUCAUGCACGAAAGCGUGGGGAGCAAACAGGAUUAGAUACCCUGGUAGUCCCA